GAAGCUGGAAUCGCUAGUAAUCGCAAAUCAGAAUGUUGCGGUGAAUACGUUCCCGGGUCUUGUACACACCGCCCGUCACACCAUGGGAGUCGGAAAUGCCCGAAGUCUGUGACCCAACGAAAGAGGGAGCAGCCGAAGGCAGGUCUGAUAACUGGGGUGAAGUCGUAACAAGGUACC
rnacentral:rRNA from 1 species